rnacentral:rRNA from 1 species
UGCAAGUCGAGGGAGAAGUUUAAUGCUUGCAUUAAACAGAAACCGGCGCACGGGUGCGUAACACGUAUGCAACCUACCUUUAACUGGGGUAUAGCUUGAAGAAAUUCAAAUUAAUCCCCCAUAACAUAUUGAAAUCGCAUGAUUACAAUAUCAAAGCUCCGGCGGUUAAAGAUGGGCAUGCGUCCCAUUAGUUAGUUGGUGAGGUAACGGCUCACCAAGACCGCGAUGGGUAGCGGGUUUGAGAGGAUGAUCCGCCACACUGGUACUGAGACACGGACCAGACUCCUACGGGAGGCAGCAGUAGGGAAUAUUGGGCAAUGGACGAAAGUCUGACCCAGCCAUGCCGCGUGCAGGAAGACAGCCCUAUGGGUCGUAAACUGCUUUUAUAUAGGAAGAAACCCCUUGUUUCUACAAGGGCUGACGGUACUAUACGAAUAAGGAUCGGCUAACUCCGUGCCAGCAGCCGCGGUAAUACGGAGGAUCCAAGCGUUGUCCGGAUUUAUUGGGUUUAAAGGGUGCGUAGGCGGGACAAUAAGUCAGUGGUGAAAGCCUGCAGCUUAACUGUAGAAAUGCCAUUGAAACUGUUUGUUCUUGAGUCCGGUUGAGGUUGAUGGAAUAUAUCAUGUAGCGGUGAAAUGCUUAGAUAUGAUAUAGAACACCAAUUGCGAGGGCAGUCAACUAAACCGGUACUGACGCUGAGGCACGAAAGCGUGGGGAGCGAACAGGAUUAGAUACCCUGGUAGUCCACGCUGUAAACGAUGUUCACUCGCUGUUGGCGAUACACUGUCAGCGGCCAAGCGAAAG